GACGAACGCUGGCGGCGUGCUUAACACAUGCAAGUCGAACGGAAAGGCCCUGCUUUUGUGGGGUGCUCGAGUGGCGAACGGGUGAGUAACACGUGAGUAACCUGCCCUUGACUUUGGGAUAACUUCAGGAAACUGGGGCUAAUACCGGAUAGGAGCUCCUGCUGCAUGGUGGGGGUUGGAAAGUUUCGGCGGUUGGGGAUGGACUCGCGGCUUAUCAGCUUGUUGGUGGGGUAGUGGCUUACCAAGGCUUUGACGGGUAGCCGGCCUGGGAGGGUGACAGGCCACAGUGGGACUGAGAUACGGCCCAGACUCCUACGGGAGGCAGCAGUGGGGAAGAUUGCACAAGGGGCGGAAGCGUGAUGCAGCAACGCCGCGUGCGGGAUGACGGCCUUCGGGUUGUAAACCGCUUUCGCCUGUGACGAAGCGUGAGUGACGGUAAUGGGUAAAGAAGCACCGGCUAACUACGUG
rnacentral:rRNA from 1 species